ACCCACCUGCCUUGGCCUCCUAAAGUGCUGAGAUUACAGGCAUGGGCCACUGCGCCUGGCUGUAUAUACAUAUUUAAAAGCCUAAACAUAUCAGAUGUUGACAUUACCAAAUUCUACCAGUUUUAGUUCUCAUUCAUUUAUAUCCUGGUAGAGUUCAUCUGUUUUGAGAACAACUAAAAGGAAAAAUAAUUCUUCAUAUUGUCUGAAUUGUGUCUUCGAAAUCUACAAACAUUUUCUGAUUGGUUGCUGAGCUCCUGGGUGUGGAAACCUGGGUGGGGAUAAAAUGAGGCUGUCCUUGGAGGAGAGGGGCUGGAAAGGGGCAGUCCCCAUCCUCACCGUCCUCUCUGCCACUUGCCACAACUUCUGCAGACGGCCUUCCCUCUCUGCGACUGGUUCCUUAUUGAGGCAAUGGAAAUGUGGACUGUGGUGACUCUGAUCAAGCCUCAUGUAUCUACUGAAUCAGGAAGCCUGACGGCCUGAGGCCUCCCGAGUGGCCCCAUGGGAGCAUCGUGCAUUUUUCUGGUCAGUUGUUAGGGGAAACGAUGAAUGAGCCAGGUCAGCAUGAGAAGGCCUGCAUGCUAUCGGAUCUUUUUCCUGAAAACAUUGACAUGGGGACAUGUUCAAACCAAAUUUUCUUUAUAAGUUAUAAGGAAAUCAUGCGGAGGCUAAACUUUUUUUUUUUUUUUUUGGCAGUGCUGUUGAGAAUAUUACAUUAUGUUCCCACAAUAGCAUAAAUGUAUGUCUUAUCACUUGAAUGGAGCCCAGACAAUAAAAGGGCGCCUGAGAGUGGAAAUACGCCUAUGAGAAAGGCCAAGCCAGCCUUUCGUGAUAACAGCAGCAGGGAGGGAAGAGUGCACAGAGCUGACCACAGCACAAAUGUCACAGACCCUUGAGGACCGUGCCGGGGCGCAGAGCCCCACCCAAGGGCUAACAUCCUCACCCCAGCCGAGUUCCUUCAGGCCCCAGGGUCUUCGUUUCGUGACUUGUAAAAUGGGAAUUAUAUGUCAUGGGAGUGUUGGGGGGAAAAUGCAAUCAUUAGCAAAUGCUUUCAAAUAUAAUAUGUUACCAAUAUCAGGUAAAGGUAACAUUUUAUUUCCUAGGGCCAGGAAUUUCAUUUUUGUUUUCCUGUUUAUUUUUUUCCAUAUUCAACCACCCACAAAUGUGCUCUCUCUCAAAAAGAAAAAAAAAAAAACAACCAACAACAACCCCAUUUCUCCUUCUGGUUGAAUGAUUCAUCAAGAAUCUUGGCCCAAGUACAAUACAGUUUCAGGGAAAAAAGACUCCAGGGAAUGAAUAGGGAACGUAAUCAUGACCUUUCCGAUAACCCCGUUAUUAGGCAAUGCGGCGCAGAUGAAAUUCUCCAGGGAGCAAGUGAGUGAGGCGUGGCUUACAUUUUGUAUGCUGAGCCCUGCUUGGUGACUUCACACCUCCAGCCCCUGUUCUAUGCCAGCAAGGUGGGGCAGCUGGGGUGGUGGGCGAGCUGAGGGUCACCUCAGAGCUGAGGUCAAAAGAAAUUCUUACAAGUAAAAUAAUCACUAACAAUUUUUAUGUUUGUAGAUACGGAGUUGUUGGUCUUGAGAUACAGACCACGCAGGAACAAAAGGCUUGCGGGAGGACGGUGGUGCUAGGAUGCUGCAGUCCCAGGGGAAGAGCUGUGGUUUUAGUGCCUACCUUCCUUUCACUCCUCUGGCCAAAAAAAACUAAUAAUAAUAAAGAAAGGAAAAGAAAAGAAACUUCUCAGAGAGGUGCCUAGUGGCUAAAAAAAGACUCCUGGUUCUCCACCCCCGUGACUUUAUGGCAUCUCCAAAACAAGACUGUAAGAUACAGAAAGAAUAUGAAGGGCCCGAUGACGAUGCUGGCCUGGCGGGGGACUUGGCUGACCCGGCCUCCGCACAGGUGGACUAGUUCACAGAGCUUGGCCACUGGGGGGCUGCUGGCAGGCGAGACAAACAUCACUGGCUGGUCGGCAAAGAGGGUUCCGCGGUACAGCCCUGCAGACAAGUGGCACUCCCUUCGGCACAGCUGUGGGGCAGACAGAGAGAGAAUUACAGAGGUGGGACCACUUCAGUCUCCACAGCGUAGGUGAACUGUUGCGGUUUACUUCCUUUUUUGGGAAAAGAAUAGACUGAAUGUAAGGCUGCCAUGCUCCUGUGAAUUUCGAAUUCUGAGAACCCAGAGAAGAUGAUGACAUUAAUGACAUAAAACUGACAUUUUCUGAAGUAUCCAUGAGUAAAACUCAAGGACAUAAAUUAGAAAAAAAAAAAAAGUAGUGUAGGCCUUUGAAUUAUUACAAAUCCUCAAACAAAAUAUUGGAAAGCAACUGUUAGCAGAGCAGAGCAGAGCCGUAGCUAGGCUGAACUCCGGCUAAAGUAACUUGGUGACGUGUGCAAGUGACGGCAAGAUUCUAAUGCACUGCAAAUGCCGGCUGUGCUGGAAGAGAGUCGUUCAAUCCAGCGUGCUCCAGGCUCUUGGCAGAAAAGGACUUUUAUAGAAUCUAAGAAAUGCUGUAAAUCCAAUACCCUGGUUUGGACGGGGAAAGGGACAGUGAGGCAAUGCAGAAGGAGAAUUCCUCGAGCCGUUCCCAAAACACACUAGGUUUGCGGGAGAGAGGUGUCUCGAGGUUGUUUCAACGAGCUGUUGGGAAACAUUUCAGAAACAGGGAUGUGAAGCUGCUCUGCUUCUCCUUCUGGCAACGUGUGGUCAUCUGGCUGACCCGGAGGCCUGCGGGAAGGCCCAGUUACUCUGAACACGCAUUUUCCUAACUAUGGGUUGGUAAAGCCUUCUUUUUGAGUAUAAACACCCUCUGAGAGAUGCUGUGGGUUAUGUGCCAUCCACAUUUUGUUUUGCAUAUUUUCCCUGCAAUAUCUGAAAUGAAUGGUUCACAUAAAUUAGAGAUUUGAGGGGAUGUAUGUGGGGGGAGGGAUGAAGGGGCGUUCUCAGAGGAGUAUAACCUGGGGUGCAGUGAGGUUGGGGUCAUCUUAGUCAGGGGCAGCAGACAAGGUUGAACUUGGAGGUAGGGGUAGGGUGGAGUUGGGGGAAGAGCAGCAAAGAGUAAGUUCCACAGCCCACAUCGCUCACAAAAUCAGAGAAACAGUGAACUAUUUUUCUGCUAGGUUUUCAUACUACUCUAAUAUUUAACAAAAGAGGAUCCUACUGUGAAAAUAUAGCUCCAGCAUCAAUGGAUUAGACCCAAUACACUUAAAUCUGCUCAAGGAAUUUGCUUUUUCUCUUCCCUUGCGUUGAAUUUUACAGCAUAAUAUAUACCGAGCCUCAGCAACUUUCAUGUGACUUCCAGGAGACAGUGGCAGCAGGGGCAAAUCAUUCUUCCUGGAUGGUGACUUUAACAAAGACUUUUUCUGGGGGCACCAACCUCCACCUGGCCAUGUGUUCAAGCCCAAGGAGAAGUCCCAGGAUUGGUCCAAGCUAAUCACAGUGAUAAUGCAAAUGACUGAGCUAAGCAUGGCACAGCUGGCCUCAAUCCUGGCCAGUGCGACCUGAGAAUCAGUCGCUGGUGGGAUUCUGAGGGAGUUUUUCUCACUAUUAUAAACAGAUGCAUAAGCAGAAAUACUUCUCUUUGCUCGACACUGUCAUGUCUAAUAUUAUGCCUGGAUCACUGAAGCCCCCAGAGGCCAUGGGACACGCUGAAAAUGGCCCAGUGGGAAGGCGGAAAGCUCUGGGUCCUGAAGAACACUUCUAAGUUACUGACGGACCAAACUGAAAUCAUCCUUUAUUUUGUUUUAUGUCAGAAAAAAAAACAAACCUAAAUUCUUUAAGUGACUUUUUUGUUAAGUUUUUGUUUCUAGAAGCCCAAAGUAUCCUAAUAAUAAUAAUUUUAAAUAAUCCACCUAUUUUUGAAAAUAUCUUGUUCAUCGUUGAGACUAUGAUCAGUUCUCACCCCGCCUCUCCCACCAUUUACCAGAGUUAACAACUGUGAAGAGUUCUCUGUGUAUUUUUAAAAAUUCUGUAAAAUGCACACACACACACACACACACACACACACACACACACACAAUUUGAUAUGGUUGUUCUUAACCAAAAAAUGAGAUCAAAUCUCUAUCUUACUGUAUGGAUAAGCAGUAAAUAAACCUUUUUCUAAUGCAGUAGAAAAGGAAGUCAACCUCUCGGAUGUUGAGGAUGUGAUUUCAGUAGCUAGUUUCUUUGUGCCGUGACAUUGCCUUCAGAAUUCUGAUCUUGGCCAAUUUUCCUAUCCAGCAAAGCACCAUUUCCCCAGCACUGGUACUUUUUUAAAAAGUUAGUUGUGAAUUACAAGCUGUAAACAUUAGAUGCAGCAGACGGUGUUCUCACUGUGUCACCACUGGCUCUCGCCAGGGAGCCUAUGUGUUACCUGGAGAUCAAGGGGAAAAGCCUCAAAGGCACAGAUUCUGAAGUCAACUUGCUGUUCAUUAUUUUCAUUGAUUUUUCAAUCCCCUUGGUAAUCGCAAUUUACAGCAACGUGCUCUAAACUCUGAUUUCAGCUGGGCUAAGUGGCUAACAGCUGUAAUCCCAGCACUUUGGGAGGCUGAGGCAAUUGGACUGCUUAAGUCCAGGAGUUUGAGACCAGCCUGGGCAACAU